rnacentral:rRNA from 1 species
UGGUGGAGUGAUUUGUCUGGUUAAUUCCGAUAACGAACGAGACCUUCACGUGCUAAAUAGCCGGCCGGCCUUGGCUGGCCGCCGGCUUCUUAGACGGACUCUCGGCAUCUAGCCGAGGGAAGUUGGAGGCAAUAACA